UAGGAACUCCCAUCCACUGGCACAUGAUAGCCGGGUUGAUUCCGUUAUCAGGGAUGCCAGGUCUAGCAGGGCUGCAACACACUGCUCUCCAGGUGCCAACACACCACGGACUACAGUACCACCUCAAUCGAUGCUGAUAGUCGGUGAUUCUAUCAUAAGGGAUGUGAAGUCAAAGCUGACCUUAUCCCUCUGUUGCCCGUUUGCUAAAGUCUCCAAAUUAGUUUGUGUCAUCCCUAGCCUGUUUACAGAAAACUCCUCUGUUAAGAAGGUUGUUGUCCACGUUGGCAUAGAUGACACUAGUCAGCAACGAUCCAAAAGGAUUUUACUGGACUUUGACAUUUAAAAGUCAGUGGUAAGAACAUCUACAUUUCUGGCCCCAUCCCAAUGCUGGGUCGGGGGGUGGGCGUUUUAGCAGUCUACAUUAGUGGCUUCAAUGUGGAGGUCAAAACUUUGGUUUUGUUGACAGUUUUAUUCUAUUCUAGGAGUGCUCUGCAUUCUUCAGAAGAGAUGGUCCUCACCUGAAUUGACUGGGCUCAUGUAUGUUGUCAGCAUACAAAUUUCACUUUACCCUGUCUAGCCCACUUGCAUGUUUAAAAUCAACGACAUGUGUGUCCCCUCUCUGGAUGCACGUAAAAUGGAGCAAAUACUUCCACGAGCAGUUCAAAACCGGUUUGUCUCAUAUGUUCCGAGACUGUGGCAAUUAUGAAGCGCCACUACAGACAAAAGCACAAAUAUUUGGAGCAAACAUAGCGUAACCAGCACGUUUAGCAGAUCAAUAGCAGCGAAUGAACCGUUGUGACUACACAAGAGGCAUUGAGGUACAUGGUUGAGCGAAGGUCACCCACUUUGUGGAAGCGCUCAGAGUCCAAUACACAAUGACUGUAGUUAUGAAUGUAAAAGGAAGGAAAUACUUUCCAUUGGCAGUUCAAAACCAGUUUGUCUAAUACCAUCCAAGACCUUGGUGAUUGUGAAGUGCCACUAUAGACAGAUUUUUGGAGCCAACAUACCCACUCAAAUCUGAACUAAAGGCACAGAAAAUAAAAACGAUUUAAGAGCCCAAUAUGAUUGAUCCACUUUAUAUUAGGAUGCACAUUUUAUUUAUAAAUGUAGCCCUUAUUUUACUUGAAAUGAGAAAAUAAUUUAUUUACUAUUAAAGCACUUAUAAUUCAUAACAUCUGCGUAUAAUAGAAUGUUAGUUUCUUUCAUGAUGUUAGUAUAACCUACAUAGGCUACUCAAUCACAUCAACUGUAUUAAUUUUUCUAUGCACUGAAGUAGCCUCUGGAGGCCAAGCAAUCGGCCUGGUCUGUACAGACAGGUUUUGAACGGGCACUGCACUAGUAUUAAUAAUUUAAUAAAAAUUUAAAAGCCCUAGCUGCAGUUUUAACUCAGCACAGACUGUUAAAGACGGCUCUUCUGAAUGUAAGAUCCCUCUCUAAUAAGACAUUUAUUUUAAAUGAUUUUAUCUCUUCUGCUGAUUUAUAUUUUAUGUUUUUAACAGAAUCCUGGCUACAAUCUUGUGAUCAUAGCCAGCUUGCUGAACUGUGCCCUCCAGAAUAUGACAGUUUUAGCCAACCUAGGGAUUGCUGUCAUGGUGGUGGCCUUGUUACUGUUCAUAGCAAGCAUUUCAAAUGUAACUUAAUAGCUUGUAAUGAUUUUUCUUCCUUUGAAGUGCUCAUGUUUAAACUUGGUAGCCCGUACCGGGUCAUUUUUGCUGUUUUGUCAUGUAGUGAGUGGAGCAGGUGGACCCAAAUGCAGGAGACGGCAGGCAGGCAGGAUCAGAUGCAUAAUAUUUAAUGAUAAACAUGAAAUAUUGAGACACAGGAACAGGGAACACUAACCAUAACCACGACAAAAACGACUCAACAAAAACUGAACUGAGAACAGGACUUAAAUACACAGGGUCUGAUUACAACUGAACACAGGAGAGUGAAACAAGACACAGGUGAAACACAUAUGGCAAUCAACAAAGGCGGGAAAACACAGGAAGUAAAGGUAACAAGACACAAGGAGAAAACAUUUCAAAAUAAAACAGGAACUAAAGUAAUCAGACAAGGAACAGGUGACACAACACAAGGGCAGACUGGGAGCUGAUAAACUGGGGAGGACGCUAGGAGCAGGGUUGGGCUAACAAGGGUGAUGCAGAACAGCUCUUGGAAGCUGCCCUUCGGGGGACCUCUGCUGCAUUCACACCAAAUCAGGCUUUGCGGGAAAAACACUGGUCCUCCCAUUCAUUUGAAUGGGGGUUGUGCAUUUAGACUGCAGGAGUGGGAACCACAAGGUUUGCCACAAUAAAAACGCAGUGGCCCUGCGGCAAGAAGUUGAUCCAGGAAUGCAACCUGACGUCAUGCUGCUCUGGCCAAUCAUGUAAGCCAAUGAUCAGACCAGAAGGUGCCCACAGGAAGAACUUUGUUUGCCAUUUAGCAUCGUAGCAUUCUGCUGUUUACCAAGCAACUGUGAAGAUGGAAGAGAGACUGAUCACCUCCAUGAUGACCUUUCCAGAGCUGUACAACCCUGCCACGACGAAGUACAAAGACGUUAAUCACCAGGAGGACGCUAAAAGGAAGUGAAGAAAUCUCCGAGACAGAUACAGGAAGGAUUGCAUUGCUGAGAAGGAGAGACGAAGCAGUUCGCACCAUAGCCCAACAGGACAUGAAAGUUCAUGCCACUGCUUCACUUCCUUGAGCCCUAUGUCCAGGGUAGACCAACAUCUUCUAAUAUGGGGCAUGACACUGUUUUUUUAGAUACGGACAGUCUCUAAGCAUCUGAGCCGAGCCCCAUACUGAGUGAUGCUAACAUGCCCUCCUGCCACAAAGGCACCAGCACAGCCAUCAACCCAGCCAUCAGCCUUGUGAUGCGCCUGUUGAUGCCUCAGGAGAAUUUCUGCAGGCUCACACCAGGACCUUGCACACCCAGGACCCUGGUCCUUCACAGCCCCUGCAGAGCUCAAGCCCAGUCACACCUGGUCCUUCAUGGCCCCUGCAGAGCCUCUGCCCUGCUACACCAGAGCACUGCAAAGCCUCAGCAACCCCCUGCAUGGGAGGAGCCGACCCUCUUGCCCCAAGAGAUGACACACACAGCUCUCUGAAUUUGAGGCCCAGGUGAUGAGCACACUUUGUAGCUGUCCAGACAAGGAGGAGCACUUUGGAUUGAGCCUGGCGGCAACACUGAGGUCCCCCCAUCAAAGGGACGACUGCUACGGUGCCGCAUUGAGCAACUUGUGUAUGAAGUCGAGUUUGGGGAUGAACUGUGAUUCUGGGUACAACAUAUAAAUGCUACAAUAGGUAUGCACAAGGUGGUGUUUUUUUCUUUCUCUUUUUUAAUAUUUUGGUGUGCAAUGCAUUAUAAAAUUGAGUGCAAUAUGUUAUUAACUUGUAUAUACUUGAAUAUAUACUGGUGUCACAUUUUGUUAUCAUUUAUUCUUACCCUUUGGUCAGUAGGUACUCAUAAUUUUGAUUUAAGAGGAUGUUUAUACUUUUAUUACACUCAGUGACUUCAUUAGAAACACCUAUUUUUGUUCCUAUCAAAACUACUGACCAUAGAGUUGUCUGACCUCUAUCAUCAACAUUAUAUGAGAGUGCGCAGAACAUUGUGGGUUAAAGUUGUAGGAGUUCUAAGUGAACGGUCUGGUUUGAUAAUUGCUCUGACUCCCAGCUUGUGUCUGUUUGAGGAGAGAUCCCAAAUGCUAAAUGUGACAAAAUGUGUAUUCUCAGUCAUUUUCACAGCUUCUGGGAUUAUUUGAAGACACUGGAAAUCUGUUAAAGCUUAUACAUAAAUAAAUGGGCAAGUGCAAUGGUAGAAAUAGCAUCAUAUGAAAGUAUGCUGAAAGAUAAUCAAGUAGACGUGGACUCUGAAGGAACAAGAACUUUGACUAUACCUGUCUUAAUUAGUAACAGAAUCACUAAUGGUUAUUCAAGCAAAGCUGUUAACUUUUAUACACAUAAAUACCUGUCCACUACAUGUACAACAAAACUAUGUACUCACAUGCACAGUACUUGCACUACAUGAUAUGACCCUUGGAAUGCUGCUAUUAUUACUAUAGUUGUUGAAUGACUGU